rnacentral:rRNA from 2 species
CUGGCUCAGGACGAACGCUGGCGGCGUGCCUAAUACAUGCAAGUCGAGCGGAGUUUAUCGGGAGCUUGCUCCUG